rnacentral:rRNA from 1 species
CUACGGGCUGCUGCAGCUAAGAAUCUUCCGCAAUGGGCGAAAGCCUGACGGAGCGACGCCGCGUGGGUGAAGAAGGCCGAGAGGUUGUAAAGCCCUUUUCUGCUUGAGGAAUAAGCAUCGGAGGGAAUGCCGGUGUGAUGACGGUAGGGCAGGAAUAAGCCCCGGCUAAUUACGUGCCAGCAGCCGCGGUAACACGUAUGGGGCGAGCGUUGUUCGGAAUCAUUGGGCAGUAAAGGGCGUGUAGGCGGAAAUGCAAGUCUGGUGUGAAAGACCGCAGCUCAACGGCGGGACCGCGCUGGAAACUGCAUAUCUUGAGUUCCGGAGGGGGAGUUGGAAUUCCUGGUGUAGGGGUGAAAUCUGUUGAUAUCAGGAAGAACACCGGUGGCGAAGGCGAACUCCUGGACGAGAACUGACGCUGAGGCGCGAAAGCGUGGGGAGCGAACAGGAUUAGAUACCCCUGUAGUC